UGACUUUUGCAUACUUCUUGUUUCCUUGGUGGGUUCGCCCACCACUAAGGACAAACAUAAACCUUUUGUAAUUGCAAUCAGCGUCAGUAACAAAUUAAUAAUUACAACUUUCAACAACGGAUCUCUUGGUUCUGGCAUCGAUGAAGAACGCAGCGAAAUGCGAUAAGUAGUGUGAAUUGCAGAAUUCAGUGAAUCAUCGAAUCUUUGAACGCACAUUGCGCCCUUUGGUAUUCCAAAGGGCAUGCCUGUUCGAGCGUCAUUUGUACCCUCAAGCUUUGCUUGGUGUUGGGCGUCUUGUCUCUAGCUUUGCUGGAGACUCGCCUUAAAGUAAUUGGCAGCCGGCCUACUGGUUUCGGAGCGCAGCACAAUUCCCACUCUCUAUCACCAAAGGUCUAGCAUCCAUUAAGCCUUUUUUUCAACUUUUGACCUCGGAUCAGGUAGGGAUGACUUUUGCAUACUUCUUGUUUCCUUGGUGGGUUCGCCCACCACUAAGGACAAACAUAAACCUUUUGUAAUUGCAAUCAGCGUCAGUAACAAAUUAAUAAUUACAACUUUCAACAACGGAUCUCUUGGUUCUGGCAUCGAUGAAGAACGCAGCGAAAUGCGAUAAGUAGUGUGAAUUGCAGAAUUCAGUGAAUCAUCGAAUCUUUGAACGCACAUUGCGCCCUUUGGUAUUCCAAAGGGCAUGCCUGUUCGAGCGUCAUUUGUACCCUCAAGCUUUGCUUGGUGUUGGGCGUCUUGUCUCUAGCUUUGCUGGAGACUCGCCUUAAAGUAAUUGGCAGCCGGCCUACUGGUUUCGGAGCGCAGCACAAUUCCCACUCUCUAUCACCAAAGGUCUAGCAUCCAUUAAGCCUUUUUUUCAACUUUUGACCUCGGAUCAGGUAGGGA
rnacentral:misc_RNA from 1 species